rnacentral:rRNA from 1 species
AACGAACGCUGGCGGCAUGCCUAACACAUGCAAGUCGAACGAGACCUUCGGGUCUAGUGGCGCACGGGUGCGUAACGCGUGGGAACCUGCCCUUAGGUUCGGAAUAACUCCCCGAAAGGGGUGCUAAUACCGGAUAAUGUCUUCGGACCAAAGAUUUAUCGCCUUUGGAUGGGCCCGCGUUGGAUUAGCUAGUUGGUAGGGUACAAGCCUACCAAGGCGACGAUCCAUAGCUGGUCUGAGAGGAUGAUCAGCCACACUGGGACUGAGACACGGCCCAGACUCCUACGGGAGGCAGCAGUGGGGAAUAUUGGACAAUGGGCGAAGGCCUGAUCCAGCAAUGCCGCGUGAGUGAUGAAGGCCUUAGGGUUGUAAAGCUCUUUUACCCGGGAUGAUAAUGACAGUACCGGGAGAAUAAGCUCCGGCUAACUCCGUG